rnacentral:misc_RNA from 1 species
CAGUGGAUGGUCGAUGCCCA